CGUUAAGAAGCUAUGAAACAGCGCUAGCCUUUUAAGCUAGAGACAGAGGACACUCCCUCCUUAACGA
rnacentral:tRNA from 1 species